AUCCUAGAGAAGGAGGAGGAAGAGGAAGAAAUGGCUGACUCUCAGGGAUUGUUAGCAUUCAGGGAUGUGGCCACAGACUUCUCUCUGG
rnacentral:miRNA from 1 species